rnacentral:rRNA from 1 species
AAUGAACGCUGGCGGCGUGCCUAACACAUGCAAGUCGAACGAGAAAGUCCCGGCUUGCCGGGAUGAGUAAAGUGGCGCACGGGUGAGUAACGCGUGGGUAAUCUGCCUUUAAGUUUGGGAUAACACUGCGAAAGCGGUGCUAAUACCGGAUAAGCUCACAGUUUGAAAUGUCUGUGGGAAAAGAUGGCCUCUGACAUAAGCUAUCGCUUAAAGAUGAGCCCGCGUACCAUUAGCUUGUUGGUAGGGUAAUGGCCUACCAAGGCGACGAUGGUUAGCUGGUCUGAGAGGACGAUCAGCCACACUGGAACUGAGACACGGUCCAGACUCCUACGGGAGGCAG